rnacentral:misc_RNA from 1 species
AGCAGCCGCGGUAAUUCCAGCUCCAAUAGCGUAUAUUAAAGUUGUUGCAGUUAAAAGCUCGUAGUUGAAUUUCGGGAUUGACACAUCGGUCGUGCCUUAAGGGGUAUGAACUGGUGUAGUCAAUUUCUCACCUUCUGGAGAACCGCGAUGCCCUUAAUUGGGUGUCGCGGGGAACCAGGACCUUUACUUUGAAAAAUUGAGUGUUUAAAGCAGGCAUUUUGCUUGAAUACAUUAGCAUGGAAUAAUAAAAUAGGACGGCAUGAUUCUAUUUUGUUGGUUUCUAGGAUCACCGUAAUGAUUAAUAGGGAUAGUUGGGGGCAUUAGUAUUCAAUUGUCAGAGGUGAAAUUCUUGGAUUUAUUGAAGACUAACUACUGCGAAAGCAUUUGCCAAGGAUGUUUUCAUUAAUCAAGAACGAAAGUUAGGGAUCGAAGACGAUCAGAUACCGUCGUAGUCUUAACCAUAAACUAUGACCGACUAGGAAUCAGACGAUGUUAAUUUUUAAUGUACUUCGUUUGGCUA